UGUGGGGCAGCUCACACAGACUUGUGCGCUGCAACCUAUGAGGAAUCAGAAAUUUUUCUCUGUAUCAAAGAAACAGCCUGCAAGGUGCAGUCCAGAAAAACUGGACAAAGAUUCCACUUUGGGAAAAAAAAAUGCACCCACAAGACUGAAGCAGACUUCAAACAAGCAAUCGGGGAAGAAUGCAACUCUGUUUCAGGACUUUAAAAAGGGCAACAGCAGGGCCCAAUGGCUGCAAAUAAAUAAGAAACAGGUCCCGGCUGCGAAGCUGCUGCAGUGACGGUCAUCGAGGCUUCUCUUCCUCUUUUCUCCAAGUAAAAAAAUAACAAGUCCACAUCUCUCAGAUCAACGAGUUUUCCUAAGAGCUAAAAAAUGACAACAGAAAAAUGCUGGAGGCGGGGAAAGAAGAAAAAAGAACGGACUACCACAUACAUCAAUUAAAACGAGGGCUUCGCUGGAGAGUGGUUUCUCUGGAAAGCAUCAGUAAAGGGACUGAACAACAGAACUGUGAAAGCGACCGUGGAAACAGACGUCUCUGUUUCAAAUACAGAAAAUGUGCCAUAAAGGCAAAUAAACACAUCACGAUUCUAUUUUACAAUUAAA